UCUAAUAUGACAGAAUUAAUGUAAUGAAUUUAAGCUUCAUCCAUAAAGAAUUAUCUUUUUUUAGAA
rnacentral:tRNA from 1 species